UUGUCACGUCGGAUGUGAAAGCCCGGGGCUUAACCCCGGGUCUGCAUUCGAUACGGGCAGGCUAGAGUUCGGUAGGGGAGAUCGGAAUUCCUGGUGUAGCGGUGAAAUGCGCAGAUAUCAGGAGGAACACCGGUGGCGAAGGCGGAUCUCUGGGCCGAUACUGACGCUGAGGAGCGAAAGCGUGGGGAGCGAACAGGAUUAGAUACCCUGGUAGUCCACGCCGUAAACGUUGGGAACUAGGUGUGGGCGACAUUCCACGUCGUCCGUGCCGCAGCUAACGCAUUAAGUUCCCCGCCUGGGGAGUACGGCCGCAAGGCUAAAACUCAAAGGAAUUGACGGGGGCCCGCACAAGCAGCGGAGCAUGUGGCUUAAUUCGACGCAACGCGAAGAACCUUACCAAGGCUUGACAUACACCGGAAAACCCUGGAGACAGGGUCCCCCUUGUGGUCGGUGUACAGGUGGUGCAUGG
rnacentral:rRNA from 1 species